GUGGGAAUCGCACGGCCGCAAAUCUGACCCGCCGCCGUUUCUGGUGGCUUCGAGAUUGCGGCAGUGC
rnacentral:ncRNA from 1 species